rnacentral:lncRNA from 1 species
UUUAUUUUUUGGUAAAUUAAUUAAUUGAUCAAUAGAGUGUUGACAUGCAGACGAUGUUCUAUGUGUGUUAGCAUUCUAUUGGUCAAUUGUCCAAUUUACCAAAAAAUAAACUUCAUGGUAUCCGAAUCCGUAUAUUUCAAUUAAAUAAAAUUUCCACUUGUGAUAAAAUAAUAAGAAAAGGAGAAAUCAUUUACAUUCGUUCAGUUGCCUCAAUUGAC